rnacentral:rRNA from 1 species
ACGAACGCUGGCGGCGUGCUUAACACAUGCAAGUCGAACGGAAAGGCCCUGCUUUUGUGGGGUGCUCGAGUGGCGAACGGGUGAGUAACACGUGAGUAACCUGCCCUUGACUUUGGGAUAACUUCAGGAAACUGGGGCUAAUACCGGAUAGGAGCUCCUGCUGCCUGGUGGGGGUUGGAAAGUUUCGGCGGUUGGGGAUGGACUCGCGGCUUAUCAGCUUGUUGGUGGGGUAGUGGCUUACCAAGGCUUUGACGGGUAGCCGGCCUGAGAGGGUGACCGGCCACAUUGGGACUGAGAUACGGCCCAGACUCCUACGGGAGGCAGCAGUGGGGAAUAUUGCACAAUGGGCGGAAGCCUGAUGCAGCAACGCCGCGUGCGGGAUGACGGCCUUCGGGUUGUAAACCGCUUUCGCCUGUGACGAAGCGUGAGUGACGGUAAUGGGUAAAGAAGCACCGGCGAACUACGU